rnacentral:rRNA from 1 species
UACGAAGGGGGCUAGCGUUGCUCGGCAUCACUGGGCGUAAAGGGUGCGUAGGCGGGUCUUUAAGUCAGGGGUGAAAUCCUGGAGCUCAACUCCAGAACUGCCUUUGAUACUGAAGAUCUUGUGUUCGGGAGAGGUGAGUGGAACUGCGAGUGUAGAGGUGAAAUUCGUAGAUAUUCGCAAGAACACCAGUGGCGAAGGCGGCUCACUGGCCCGAUACUGACGCUGAGGCACGAAAGCGUGGGGAGCAAACAGG